AUACAGAGGGUGCAAGCGUUAAUCGGAUUUACUGGGCGUAAAGCGCGCGUAGGCGGCUAAUUAAGUCAAAUGUGAAAUCCCCGAGCUUAACUUGGGAAUUGCAUUCGAUACUGGUUAGCUAGAGUGUGGGAGAGGAUGGUAGAAUUCCAGGUGUAGCGGUGAAAUGCGUAGAGAUCUGGAGGAAUACCGAUGGCGAAGGCAGCCAUCUGGCCUAACACUGACGCUGAGGUGCGAAAGCAUGGGGAGCAAACAGGAUUAGAAACCCCAGUAGUCC
rnacentral:rRNA from 1 species